UACGUAGGGACCAAGCGUUGUUCGGAUUUACUGGGCGUAAAGGGCGCGUAGGCGGCAAUUCAAGUCAUCUGUGAAAUCUCCGGGCUUAACUCGGAACGGUCAGAUGAUACUGCUUUGCUAGAGUGCGGAAAGGGGCAAUCGGAAUUCUUGGUGUAGCGGUGAAAAUGCGUAGAUAUCAAGAGGAACACCUGAGGUGAAGACGGGUUGCUGGGCCGACACUGACGCUGAAGCGCGAAAGCCAGGGAGCAAACGGGA
rnacentral:rRNA from 1 species